rnacentral:rRNA from 1 species
AUGCAGCUUAAUCUAGGAUCAGAACAAAUAGGGAAGAACUGCAUGCUACAACAGCCUUUUAAGGUAGUACUUCUCUCUGCACUGCAUGCUCUCUAUGCAGCCCCACUGUGUCAAAUAUUGACAGCAUUCCAGGGUCUACACGAGAGGCAAAUGUACCAAUGCACCCAGCUUGUUUUCCUUCAUCAUCCUACUUCUAGUACAAUACACGUGGACCAGAUCAGCCAGCGUAGAAUAUCUCAUCUGCAUGUUGCAUGCUGA